ACUCUUUUUAAAGCCCUAUUUUAUUUCCCCAAAAAUCUCUAACGUCGCUUUUUUUCUCCCUAUUUACACCUGAAGUCCCUCUCUUUCUCCAACAGGUCGGCUCUAUCUCUCUUUCUCCAACAACGCUGCUCUCUCUUUCUCCUGUUUCUUCAAGUAAAAGUCACCUGAAAUUCUUUGCUCUACUGAUAUUGGAGAGCCCGAGACUUGAGUCGGGAUCUGUUUGGCGAGUGAUCGAGAUUUGUUAGCGAGCGAUCGAGGUACGGACGUUCGUUUCGGUGAUCCUCCAGUAUAGGAUACAUAUUCUGCCACUUGGAUUACUCCUUUUAAUCCGGAGCUCGUAUUUUUGGUACAUAUCUUCUGUUAUACAUAUUCUGUAUAUAUAUGACUAUUUGGGUACGGCGGGGCCCUGUCCCGUCAUAUGUUCUGUCAUGAUUUGUAGAGGCCUGUAGUCAUAUAUGUGGGUCAUGGGUGAUGUUUGUUCGUUUGUGAUUAUGAUCUGCAUCUUAAUGCGGUCCCGUUUACUAUUAUGGCCAAAACGGCACAUAUGUUUGUAUAUGUGUGUAUAUCUGGGCGAUGUGUAUUCCGCCAGCCUACCGGAUUUGAUAUGAUGUUUCUGUACGGGCGACCGCUUAAGACGAUAUUUGUUUUCAG